UGGUAUUUAACAGAUCAGGAUUUAAAGCUCAACUUCAAAUCUUUGGCAAGCAAUGAAUUGAGGGUGAUCUAGCUGAAAGAGAAAAGACAAGAGGUUUUCCUUGGGCCAAGCAUCCAUUACAGGGCAGCUUUCUGCAUGAUGCUAAGAACAUAAUUUACUGACUGAUCAUUAGGAAGACCAG